AAUAUUGCACAAUGGAGGAAACUCUGAUGCAGCGACGCCGCGUGAGUGAAGAAGGUCUUCGGAUCGUAAAACUCUGUCCUUGGUGAAGAUAAUGACGGUAGCCAAGGAGGAAGCCCCGGCUAACUACGUGCCAGCAGCCGCGGUAAUACGUAGGGGGCGAGCGUUGUCCGGAUUUACUGGGCGUAAAGGGUGAGUAGGCGGUUGCAUUUGUCAGAUGUAAAAGGCACAGGCUUAACUUGUGUUAACAUCUGAAACAGUGCGACUUGAGUGCAGGAGAGGUAAGUGGAAUUCCUAGUGUAGCGGUGAAAUGCGUAGAUAUUAGGAGGAACACCAGUGGCGAAGGCGACUUACUGGACUGUAACUGACGCUGAGUCACGAAAGCGUGGGUAGCAAACAGG
rnacentral:rRNA from 1 species